CUGGGGUUAAAAGAGCGGGGUCUGGGGUGGUCGCCCUGCUUGCCAUGUCCUAAGGACAGCCCUGCCUGGCAUUUGUAACAAAUGGCAUGAUGGAGCCCUGAAGAUGACACGAAGGGUGGUGGCUGAAGGGAGGAUCCAGGAGGGAAGGAGUGGUGGGUUAGGGGGCUUGCAGGCAACUAGUAGGGGAAGCAAUGGCAUGUAUUGAAAGGAGGCUUUUCCAGUCAAGAAGCUGGAAUGAGCUGAACAAAUUAAAAUAUGAGGCAAAUUCCUAAUGAAUAAAGGGCUCACGAUCUAAAAAAGAAACACAAUAUGACAGCAGCCACAACCGCUGGAGGUACUGUGCUGGGGGUGGAUAGGGCCAGUUGCUCUCCCCCUGCUAAAUAACAAGGAUCGCCACUUUUAAAAGGUUAGGCGGCAUGCAGGGAAGGCGUGAGAGGAAAAAGGGUGCAGAAGAGCUCAUGUCAGCUCCUCCGUGAGCAGACCCCAGAAAGGCGGGAAAGGGCUGCUGUGUAUCCUGAGGGAAGAGAAAGAAGACAACAAGGGAGCAUCAUCUAGGUUUCCAUCCCUCAAAAGAGUCGGAAUUUGAAUAAUUGGGGGGGGGGGCUUUUUGUUCUCUAGAGGUCACCAAGCAGAGAAUGAGUCACUCUAUAUGGUAAAAUGGCACUGUUUGGAGGGUAAGGCUGGUUAAGGCCUCCCUUUUUAGUCAGGGUGGCCCAAGGCCUACCCCUCUUUCAGGAGACUUCGGAGAACACCAUCCUGAGGGGAAUUACAUCAAGCAGAACUUGGGCGGUUUGUAGGACAUUCUUGGGAUGACAAUUGGUCGCUUUGGACAGGGACUCUAAAGCCGUUCUUGUUCUUAAUGAUCAUGUGUGUGGGUUUUAUUUUUUAGGUUAAGAAAAAGUGAAGGGCAGAUUUAUAAAGGGAACACAAGUCGCCGAAUUCUUGUGGUGAUUAUUCAGUGCUGAAUAAUCAUGAGGUGGGGUCACACUGCCACUCUUCCUGAAUCCACUCAUUUCAUUUCAUUGUGUUUUUUGGUCUACAGAAAUUAUGUAGGGUGUGGAGAGAGUCGUCAGGGAUAAAUUUCUCUCCCUGUCUCACCAUACGAAUACAAAGAAGGUCAUCUUUGCCUCCCCCCCCCCAUCAAAUAUCCCAGUUCUGCCAAGAAGGAGGCUUUUCGGAGGAGGACCACCAGACCCACACCGACAGGACACCAAACAUGUUUGGUGGCAUGUUCAGCAAAAGGGGAGUUGGGAGGGGAGCACACAGCAGCCCCGGGCAUUCCCGAAAGAUCCUCCAGUUUCUUAUGAUUUGCUGACAAGAAUGUUUCCGUUCCUCCCUACAGGAUUCCGGCGGAUGAACAAGGCAUUCAUACCAACGGAGGACCCGAGAUCCUGGGUAGCUAGGGAAAGACCUUUGCCUGCAAGCGGCUGCGGCCAGUUACAGCAGGGUCGAGUCUGGCCCAGGAGAAGGCAGCGGCAUAUGUAGGCACGGCGGAUCAUGUCCGGCCACUAGGCAUGUGGGGAGUGCCGUCUCGCCAGCACGAUGCACUGUCUCUUCCUCUUGUCAAGCCUUCGCUUGCUCUCGUUGCUGAAAUCCAGCAUGGAUGUCAGUGAUGUCAGCCGGCUGAACAUCAUGGGCCUUGUUCCACCGGGGAAGGCAAGGCCGCCUUGUGGAUCUCCCCACUCCCUCGCCACCCCUUCAGAGUUUCGCAUCUGUGCACUUUUUCUUUUCCCCAGUGCACAUCUCUCACUCUCCGGACAAAGGAGAGAGGUGCGCUUUGCGACUGGGACGUAGGCUGUGGAUUGAAUACAUCCCACCCCAAAACCCAGGGAAAAGAGUGUUCCUGUGGAGACCAAGGUUUCUCCCCGGCAUGGCUACCCUCACUGGGCUUUCCCGCACCCCACCUGCAAAUAAAACCGGAAGGCCAGCUCUGAGGCUAGUGAGCCUGUGCUCUCUUUAGCCACUCUGGCUAAUAGCCAUUCAGAGCUUUCUCCUCUGUGAAUGUGUCUAAUCCCCUUUCAAAAGUCAUCGACACCAUCUUGUGGCAGUGAGGUGUCCACAAGUUGAUUGCAUGUUGUGUGAAGGAGGGCUUUGCGUGUGUCCUGACUAGAGGUGAGACUCCGGGGCCAAGUGGCCGAGGAAUUUCCCAACUAGGGGACUUCAGCCUGAGAUUUGGGGGUGGGGGAAGGAAGAAGGAAGGGGCGGACAGUCAGGGGUGACUCCCCUGCCCCCUGGGUGCUUGGGCAUCUCUGAGGCAGAGAUUGCAUUCAAACCAAAGCACGGCCAGUACCUUACUACUGGUCAUAGGAUUCUGUGAUCCUGAUUGCCUUUGGAGUGGGAUGGUCAUUCAGCUCCAUCUUCCAUCUUCAGCUUCCAUCUAUGAAGGUGGUUGCCUCCAUUAAGGUAGUUUCCUUAAACUGGGUAACUGUCUUUGCAGCUGCAGAGCAAGGUAAAGUCUGGGGUGUGCUAAUGGAACUGGCCCAGGGGGGUUUGGUCAGCACACUCAGUGUUCGGGCUGUGUGGGGAACGUGGGUGUAAUGAUGGGGGGGCAGGGGGGGGCACGUGCCCUGGGCGCCACUCUGUUUGACCACAUAGGGGGUGCCAAAAAGUGCCCCCACCGAACCCCUGCCUUUCCAUUUAAAAAAAAUUUUUUAGCGCAAAAUUUUGUGUGUGUGCCCCCUCCCCUGGUCCUGGCACCACCACCACCCCAUUUCUCGGCUCCGGCGCAUUUGUUUGCAGUGCCUGCCUGCAGUGGCUGCUUCGGCGUCAUCCUCGUCGUCUACUCUAACCUUCCGGGAGUGCUUCGCCCCUCCUGCACUGAGAGCCCGCGGAGCACUUGCUAUUUAUUUCAAGCAGCGUUUGCAGCCUGAAGGCGUCUAUUCCCCUUUCUCUCCCUCCAGAGAGGGAGAGAAAGGAAGAAUAGAUGCUUUCAGGCAGCCAGCCUGCCCGAAAUGACUCAAAAGCUCGCUCCGGCUCUUUGGAGCUCGAAGCCACGCCCCCUUUGUGCGAUCACAUGUAAAGGGGGCGUGGCCUCAAGUGCCAAAGACCCGGAGAUGAGCUCUUCCACACCAGGCAGUGGUGGUGCUUUGGAGGACUGCAGAUGAACUGAGGAGGACACCGCCAGGACUGGCGAGAGACAUGGAGGAGCCCUCAGUCUCAAAUAAUCCCAUCCUGGUGCCUCCUUCUGCACUCCCCAACCCACCCUUUGCUGGGAAGCUCCAGCACAGCCAGCCCUGCUGGAAUAGUCAAUGCCUCCCCUCACCAGCUGCACCUUGAUGCCUUCGGGGAAUGAGCUGUUAAAGGGGUCAGCUCCACCAGUUUUAAAUUGUGUGCCUGGCAUUUGUGAGGAAUGGCAGGAUCAAUGGCUGCCCUUUGGAGGAAGGCGGAAACGCAAAAAGAAAUUGAGCCCCACCCCCUCCAUUUUUUGUUUAAAAAACAUGUUUGAAAUGUUUUCUUCAACCUAAUUGACGGUUUAAUUGAAUGUUGAACUGUUAUAUUUUGUUGUGCAAAAUAAAAAAUAAAAAAUUCAAGUUGUUCAUUUCA